rnacentral:sRNA from 1 species
GACAAUGGAACACCCAAAUGCAUUGUGAAACUGUGAUAAAUCUGGUUUGGCUAAAAACACACAACACAACAGAGAGAUCAAACGAGAUGAGGCGGCAACUAGAAAUAAGGCCUAUUUCCAAAGCCGUAACAAUUUCCAACAAAUAAAAUGUUUAUCAUUUGUUUUGUGACAUGCACAACGGGGUGUGCGAAUUACAGUCGAGCCCUGGACACAGCCCUGACUGCCCUCGUCCUGUCGUCCCUUUGCGGCUGAGCCUGAUAAUGACAUUACCCAGCGGCCAAGCACUGCAUGACGUCACAGCGCUGCCACACCAGGUCACAAACAUAAAGCGACAAAUUGACGCAAACAUUUAACACACACAUUGCCCCGCCCCUCCCCAACAAGGAUCGCAGAACGCAAUGCUCAGGACAUGGUCAACAGGGCUAUAGAAGGGCCUGCAGCAGGGCGUUGGCGGCUUCUCUUGAUGGUGGAACACCUACGAAAAAAUUCCUUUGAAUUACGUUGUUGCAGCGCCUGCCAGCCUGCCUGCUUGCAUGUAUGUGUGUCGGUUUUUUUUUUUUUUUUUUUUGUUAAGCCCUGAGCUAUGCGCAAAAAAGGACAUCUUCGCUGGCUGUGCACUCCAUUAUGCAUUUUAUGUGCGCCCUCAUUCAGUGUCUGUUGACAUUUUUAUUCCAAGCAGUUAAGCAAUAUUUCCAUUAACGUGUGGUCGGAUCGGAGUCCAACAAUCUAUAAAUGUAUGUAUAUAAAGAGGAGGAAGAAGAGCUCCACUAAUCAUCCCAUCUUAAAUCCUUAUAAUCUGCCUUUUAAUAGGAGACCUCAAGCUUUAACUCUAUCCUGUUUUCUAUGCUAAUUCGCUGUUAAUUGAUGCACAAACAUUUCGGUAUUUAUUGUUGUUGGCUAGUCGCAGUGGGCAGGACUUGAAGGCACCUUGAAUGGAGGGCUCAUUUAAUUGAAUCAAAAUAUUUUUGCACGCACCAAUUCAAUUUACAUUGUUUAUAUGGAGCAGGAGCCAGAGUGAUUGCCGCAGGACCUGUCGCUGUGAGUCCUGGCUGCUGCUGCUGCUACUGCUGCUACUACGGUUUGCUUAAUUAUAGGGCCAAAAGGCAAAGCGACGUCUGCUACUUGCUAGGUAAUCAGCCUUUCAGUCGUUUUGGCUACCGUAUUAAAAGGACGAACGCUUGAUGAUGAUUGAUUAGGCGCUGGGUAAGACAAGCCAACCAAGCCAAGCCUAGCCGAGUCAAUCACCGAUGAGCUUCUUAUGUAGGCCAAGCAUCUUUUGCAUCUGCUCAGCUGCGACAACUGUGCAAAUGCAGCGCGUGGCUAAGAGACCCACAGAGCGGGGCAGCUGUAGCUCUAGCUGUAGCUGAAGCUAAACAACAAAUCGAAAACUGAUUUGGAGCGGAAGUUCGUUUGCACCUUUCAGCAGUUUCCUGUGUGUGCAAAGCAACAACAGCGACAACCACAACAACAACAGCAACAACUAUACAAACGCUCACAUCUGUACAUAUGUACAUAGUAGUAUGUUUGUAUAUAGCACACGCAUGUCAAGACUUCAUUUGUAAUUUGCGCUACUUCGACGUUUGGCCUUUGACGCCGCAUUCCUUUGUCUUGGAACUGAACGCAACGGAACGGGGCGGGGCGAGCGCGCGAUAUAUUCGCAAAUCAAAAGCUAUAUAGAUUAAGAUUGCCCUCCUGUGUAUAUAUAGGGAAACGCAAAGGAUCUGGGCAUAUAUAUGCAAAGCGCUGCCAAGGAGCAGCUGUCGCCGUUGUUUGAUUUGCGAUUGCGACGCUGGCGGAAAUGGAAUGACACGCAAGGCACAAAGGCAGCCCGACAGCCCAGCCCUA